AUCUAGUUGAUGAGUCCCAAAUAGAACAAAACGCGUGUCCUGGAU
rnacentral:hammerhead_ribozyme from 1 species